AAACGGAGCAGCUCAGAGAACAAGGACAGAAUUAUACUCAUUUUAACAUCAAGACUCCUUACAGGAACAGUUUGACAUUUUAGGAACUAGAAUUAUUUGUUUUUUUCCACUUUUUGAGUCAAAUGAGUCGAUUAAUACCACUUUCAUGUCAAUUAGCUUAGCUUAGCAUAAAGACUGGAAGCAGGGGGAAACAGCUAGCCUAUGUAAUCCUCCUCAGACUGUGGCGUCGAAUCCGCCUGGUGCAGAACGAGGAGUGGAAUAAAGUUGAGUGAUUUAUGGACGACAUAAAGAAACAAGUCUGUUGAUGGUAUCAGUCGACCUUCAUUUCACUGAAAUCCACUUUGGAUUGUUUUUAUUAGUUUUGGUUCCACUGUCAUUGUUAAUAAUUGCUAAUCUAAUCCCCUGUUUCUCUUAUUUUGUUUCCCUCUCCUUUGAGAUGGAUUUUAGGAAAUAACUUAUCUGGAUAUGAAACAACCUUUAUAGGGAUAUGAGAUUCUGUUUAUAUUGCACAGCCCUAAUGUGCAGGCUUGGGGAGUAAUGGAUUACAUGUUAUUAGGAUAAAAUAGGAAUUAUUUAGCAGGAUUCCAAUUUUAAAAUACAUCAGUUCUUCCUCUCUUUUCCGUCUCCAUCUUAUUUUCAAAGUGUUAAAUUGUUCUGUUGUCUUAUAGAAUAAACUAAUCAAUCAUUACUUAUUAAUAUUUCUUUAAACCUGUUUUUAUUUGCAUUUUAGGUGUUGAGGUAAUCCAAAAGUAACGUAAAGUAUUCAAGUUAUGUUACCUUAACAUUUUUUUGACAGGUAAUUAGUGACUGUUUCAGUUCCAGAAGUAAAGUGAGUCAGUCAGUAACAUCAGUGAUGUAGAUGUGAAUGUUUGAGCAUUAUGUGAUAGUAAAGUGUUUGUAAAGUAAAGAGAAACAAAAGCAGAAGCAUGCAGACAGCGACUGGGUUGAGUCCAGGUAAAGCGAAAGUCGGGCCUUUGGCUCGGCUCACGUGCUCCAAACCUGACUCCUGAAAUCUUCUUUAAAUGUGUAUUUUUCUUCCUCUAACUACCAGAUUUCUCUCUUCUCCCUGCAGAAAAUAAACGAGAGGUUUAAAUAUCUUUAAAGCACUGUGGAGGGAAGGAUCUUACUGCAGAGUGAACACAGUUUUUGUUUUCAUCGAGUUGGCAGCGACGUCCUGUUGCCAUUUUCUACCCGAACGAGCAGCUGAGAGAGUCAACAGAGAGUUUAACCAUCCGUCAACACAGAGAACAAACAAACAGAUCAACAGAGCAGAGAGGGCCUGGAAACCUGACAAACACCUGAAGUACCGACGGGAUGCAGCUCCGUUAUCCGUCCUGCUGCAGAGGAUGUUCAUCCACUCGGCUCCCACAUGCAGCACUUUGACCUCCUCCGGGUUCACGAACCAUCAGAAAAUAACUUUCCACCAUCGACACAAAGUCCAUUAAACAAAAGCAAAAUCUCUCACAAACAGCUGCCUCAUGUUAGAGAAUAUUAUUAUAUUUAAGGCUGUUACACAAAUACGCUUAUUUUAUUAUAUUUUAUUGACUUUUUUGCACUACAUUCCCGUGUGCCAACUUAAGAAAGGAGCAUCUUUAUCUUAUCAUAUUGUAAUUAUUGUAUUUUUAUUAUUCUAAAUUUAUAUUCUUGCAACAAAUACACAAACAACGCGUUGAAUUUGAAAGAGGGUCUAAAAAUUACAUUUCUGAGAGUGAUAUUAGAUAAUAAACUAUGCACAUAAAUUAUAUAAAAACUAAAAUUUUAAGGUCAGUUGUGUAAAAUAAAGAAUUUACUUAAGUAAAAGUACUAAUACAACAGUAAAAAUACUCAGUUACACUCACAAUAGUCUGCUUUAUGUUACUUAUAUUAUAUUUUUUUUAUUACAUUUUGUUGUUUUUUCUCAUAUUUUGUUCUAUUUUAUUGACUUUUUGCACAACUACUACUUGCCUGUGUUUGUAUCUGGAGCUGCUGUAGCGAGUGGAUGUGAGAUCAAUGAAGUCUAUCUUAUGUUAUUUUACAUGUAUAAUGUAAAAUAACCUGUAACUGUAAAUCAUCAUAAAAUUACUGCUUUUUUAAAGAAAAUGUCCUUUUUUUCACAUAAAAUUCGAGUUUAAUACAGUUAAUACAUUUCUAAAAUUAUGUAACGUAUAACUUAUAAAAUAAUAUCACAUUUCAGACAGUUAAACGUACAACACACUUAUUA